AACCCUCCCUCUAUCAUCACAAUGUGAUCUUGUUUUCCCUUUUUUAUUUCUCACUCUUACACUACCGAUCACUGGUUCGAGCCCAAGGACGUCGAUACUUCACCGCUUCAACAGAAAAAUUACGCUAACAAUGAUUCAGAGCAUUAUUUAUAGAGGGAUGCGUAUGAUUUGGAAACACGAUCCUACUUUUGUCUAAGGUCCUAAUUUUUGUGUGACUAAACUAGCAUUUGUUUCUUUACUAUGUCUGCUCAUAUUAAUUUUGGUCUUUCCCUUCACGUUAUUAUUAAAUACUAGAAAUGCAUGUGUAAUGGUCUUACUAAUUUCAGGUUAGUUUUGUUUAAAUAUAAAAUUGCAUUUUGGGAGCAGAAUCAUAUUUAAUUAGGUGUGACAUGAGCUAGUUUUUCAUGGUAAUUGUUCUUAACAUUUAUCCCAACCCAAAAAAGAGAAAAAAGGAGAAAAAUGAGAGGAAUGAAAAUCCAAGUUUUGGUGAUUAUGAAUCUCCCAUUCCUUUGUAAAAGCAUGCUCCCUGCAAUUCAAGAGAGUCGAUUAUCUAAAUUUUACCUCUAAUGUGGGAAAGAAAUCCAAACUCUUGAUCUCAAAUGUAGUCUAGUGCACCGAUAAAAUAAUCCAUUCUUUAAUCAUUACUGUUGUUUUAAAUUGAUCAUAUAUAUAUCUUCAAUUAAUGUCACACAGCUGGGUCUGUAAGUUACUCAUUUUUUUUUUAAUUACCUGCUUUAGCAAGUCUUGUGACUGUGAAGUGAAGCAUUACUUAUUUAUUUUAUAGGUUGCUUUGUAUAACUUCUUAAUCUCGUUCUAUAGUUUGACUUUUAACUUGUCUAUGUUCAUUAUUAUACUAAAAUAGAUUAUUUAAUAAAAUAACCUCCCUUCAACAUUUAGGUAUGCUAAUGUUCAUGAUAUGACUGCUGCUGGUCUUGGUUUAAACUAGUUCUGCUACGCGGGGCAUAUAAUUGCACAUAAGAUUAAGACACCUAUUACUGAUGAUUCGGCGAACAAAGUCCAAGGGGUGGUCAUCAGUUGAAGCAUCGAGAGACAAAGCAUGGCGGGUUCUUGAGUAAAGAGUUAACAGUGUAUCACGUUGCAAUUCAUGCAUGUGCUGACUUUUGGAAUGUAGAGGGGAUACGCAAUGCAAACACUAUUGGAGAUGCUUAAAAGGGAUGGUACAACUCUUGAUGUCUUUAUUGUGAUGCAAACUGUGAGGUGCUGCAACGCAGCUAGAAGGGGGAUGACUUCUGGUGGACUAACAAUCAAGGAAUUAAACGACUUGCUUGAUCGCUUGGCUUCAACUGAAAAUAGAGUUUGAGCCCCUUGUUGCCAUUGACGAUGUUCUCCUUCAAGAUCCCGCCAGCAUGUGUCCAAACUCGUCAAGAUCCCAGUAUGUACGUGCUUGAACUCAUCGUCUCUGAGCUUCCGGGGGAACGCUGCCUUGCUCCUGAGCCUUGUGAUGGCGAUAGCCACGUUUGCCGGAGCCCCCACAGGGCACCUUCUCAUAAACCCAUAAUUUCCUCCUCAAGCACUCCAUACCUAUUGGAGAAAUGUUGAUCUCCAUGCGUUUGUAGAAGGUGAGAAGCAGACCAACCAUGGCAUAAUUUCCUCCUCAAGCACUCCACACCCACAACUUUAUUUUGACAUCUCUCCCUAUAUAUAUAUAUAUAU